CACAUGCUUUUCAACACCCGCUCUCACAUCCCAUCUGGGGCCUCUGCUUGCAUCCUACCAUUUCGUAAGCCUGGCCAACUCAAGCUCCGUGUGCCGCACCUAGAGCAGCCCAUCUCUGUGUCAGGGAGGUGAACUGCUCAGUUGCCAGACUACCAACCUAAGCCCAGGACACUGCCAGACUGCUGAGUCAAAGGGGUUUAGCAGCCCAUUUUCAUAGACAGACAGGUGAGAGGAGGAUGCUGGACAUCGUCCCAGAGACAUGGGGACUCAAGAAACAUGAAGAUCUGUUCACAGCUGAGGGCACAUUUCCAUGCCGAGAAAUCAGGCAUGAGCGCAGGAGUCCUAUCGUCUACCAGAAAAAGAAAUCUUUGGGAGAACUGCAAUCCAAGCAAAUGUGGUGGGUGUGAAGCUUUCAAGAAGUUGGGUCAAGAACGAGGACUGAAAGAGGAGCAU
rnacentral:antisense_RNA from 1 species